GAUGAACGCUGGCGGCGUGCCUAAUACAUGCAAGUCGAGCGAACGGACGAGAAGCUUGCUUCUCUGAUGUUAGCGGCGGACGGGUGAGUAACACGUGGAUAACCUACCUAUAAGACUGGGAUAACUUCGGGAAACCGGAGCUAAUACCGGAUAAUAUUUUGAACCGCAUGGUUCAAAAGUGAAAGACGGUCUUGCUGUCACUUAUAGAUGGAUCCGCGCUGCAUUAGCUAGUUGGUAAGGUAACGGCUUACCAAGGCAACGAUGCAUAGCCGACCUGAGAGGGUGAUCGGCCACACUGGAACUGAGACACGGUCCAGACUCCUACGGGAGGCAGCAGUAGGGAAUCUUCCGCAAUGGGCGAAAGCCUGACGGAGCAACGCCGCGUGAGUGAUGAAGGUCUUCGGAUCGUAAAACUCUGUUAUUAGGGAAGAACAUAUGUGUAAGUAACUGUGCACAUCUUGACGGUACCUAAUCAGAAAGCCACGGCUAACUACGUGCCAGCAGCCGCGGUAAUACGUAGGUGGCAAGCGUUAUCCGGAAUUAUUGGGCGUAAAGCGCGCGUAGGCGGUUUUUUAAGUCUGAUGUGAAAGCCCACGGCUCAACCGUGGAGGGUCAUUGGAAACCGGAAAACUUGAGUGCAGAAGAGGAAAGUGGAAUUCCAUAUGUAGCGGUGAAAUGCGCAGAGAUAUGGAGGAACACCAGUGGCGAAGGCGACUUUCUGGUCUGUAACUGACGCUGAUGUGCGAAAGCGUGGGGAUCAAACAGGAUUAGAUACCCUGGUAGUCCACGCCGUAAACGAUGAGUGCUAAGUGUUAGGGGGUUUCCGCCCCUUAGUGCUGCAGCUAACGCAUUAAGCACUCCGCCUGGGGAGUACGACCGCAAGGUUGAAACUCAAAGGAAUUGACGGGGACCCGCACAAGCGGUGGAGCAUGUGGUUUAAUUCGAAGCAACGCGAAGAACCUUACCAAAUCUUGACAUCCUUUGACAACUCUAGAGAUAGAGCUUUCCCCUUCGGGGGACAAAGUGACAGGUGGUGCAUGGUUGUCGUCAGCUCGUGUCGUGAGAUGUUGGGUUAAGUCCCGCAACGAGCGCAACUCUUAAGCUUAGUUGCCAUCAUUAAGUUGGGCACUCUAAGUUGACUGCCGGUGACAAACCGGAGGAAGGUGGGGAUGACGUCAAAUCAUCAUGCCCCUUAUGAUUUGGGCUACACACGUGCUACAAUGGACAAUACAAAGGGCAGCGAAACCGCGAGGUCAAGCAAAUCCCAUAAAGUUGUUCUCAGUUCGGAUUGUAGUCUGCAACUCGACUACAUGAAGCUGGAAUCGCUAGUAAUCGUAGAUCAGCAUGCUACGGUGAAUACGUUCCCGGGUCU
rnacentral:rRNA from 1 species